UAGAAAUGCAAGAACAGAAGCUUUGCGAGGUGGUUGUUGAUGAAUCAUGUAAGGAUGGUGCAGAACUCACAAGAGGGAAAAGACCGAACUGCGGUAACCAAAUCAAAUAGCUGAUAAGGUUCACUUGGAAGUGGUUGAGGUAGCCUGACCUGGUGAGACCUGGUGACGCG